GAUGAACGCUGGCGGCGUGUCUAACACAUGCAAGUCGAACGGACAUUUUUUGGAAAGUUCUUCGGAACUGGAAUCUAAAUGUUAGUGGCGGACGGGUGAGUAACGCGUGAGCAAUCUGCCUUUCAGAGGGGGAUAACAGCCGGAAACGGCUGCUAAUACCGCAUAAUGCAUCGAAUUCGCAUGUUUUUGAUGCCAAAGAUUUUAUCGCUGAAAGAUGAGCUCGCGUCUGAUUAGCUAGUUGGCGGGGUAACGGCCCACCAAGGCGACGAUCAGUAGCCGGACUGAGAGGUUGAACGGCCACAUUGGGACUGAGACACGGCCCAGACUCCUACGGGAGGCAGCAGUGGGGAAUAUUGCACAAUGGGGGAAACCCUGAUGCAGCAACGCCGCGUGAGUGAUGAAGGUUUUCGGAUCGUAAAGCUCUGUCUUUGGGGAAGAUAAUGACGGUACCCAAGGAGGAAGCCACGGCUAACUACGUGCCAGCAGCCGCGGUAAUACGUAGGUGGCGAGCGUUAUCCGGAUUUACUGGGCGUAAAGGGAGCGUAGGCGGAUGAUUAAGUGGGAUGUGAAAUACCCGGGCUCAACUUGGGUGCUGCAUUCCAAACUGGUUAUCUAGAGUGCAGGAGAGGAGAGUGGAAUUCCUAGUGUAGCGGUGAAAUGCGUAGAGAUUAGGAAGAACACCAGUGGCGAAGGCGACUCUCUGGACUGUAACUGACGCUGAGGCUCGAAAGCGUGNGGAGCAAACAGG
rnacentral:rRNA from 1 species